AUUGAACGCUGGCGGCGUGCCUAACACAUGCAAGUCGAGCGGUAACAGGUGUAGCAAUACAUGCUGACGAGCGGCGAACGGGUGAGUAAUGCUUCGGAAUCUACCCAAUGGUGGGGAAUAACCAGCCGAAAGGUUGGCUAAUACCGCAUACGUCCCACGGGAGAAAGCAGGGGAUCGCAAGACCUUGCGCCAAUGGAUGAGCCGAAGUCGGAUUAGCUAGUUGGAGGGUAACGGCCUACCAAGGCGACGAUCCGUAGCUGGUCUGAGAGGACGACCAGCCACACUGGGACUGAGACACGGCCCAGACUCCUACGGGAGGCAGCAGUGGGGAAUAUUGGACAAUGGGGGAAACCCUGAUCCAGCGACGCCGCGUGUGUGAAGAAGG
rnacentral:rRNA from 1 species